rnacentral:tRNA from 1 species
GGGGUCUAUACCGAGAUGGCGCGGUACCGGUCUUUUAAACCGGACGAGGGUCAGUUCGAUUCUGACAGGCCCCACCA